GUAAAAACUAGAAGCGUUCCCUUUGAAAACUGGCACAAGACAGGGAUGCCCUCUCUCACCACUCCUAUUCAACAUAGUGUUGGAAGUUCUGGCCAGGGCAAUUAGGCAGGAGAAGGAAAUAAAGGGUAUUCAAUUAGGAAAAGACAAAGUAACUUUUCCAUGUAUCUAGUACAUUCCAGGGAUUGCGCCAACGUUAUCUGACUAUCUCAGAGAGAGUUUGGUAGAAGAAAAAUUGCCCGGGAAGACCACAAAUUGUUUCUGAUUUUUACAGGAGCUUCUUUAAACACAUUUCUUCCUCAUUGGACAGUCACUGUCAAUCCCACUAUCCAAAGGCUGUCCAAAAGCAACCUCCUGGGGAAUUUGCAGAGGACAUGGGCAUAGGUGAGAUUGGAGGGUAGAUGUGGUUCGUAGGAAGUUCUUUGGUAGCUUCUACUCCUCCAUGAAACGAGAUGUUAUUGGCUGAAAGUGAGAAUGGGGAGACGACAGUUCAUACAUCUGUGUGACCCAUUAAUGUCCAGCAGAGUAACUAGUCGUUUGUGGUCAAGUGUAAAAAUGAAUGAUUGAGUUGUCUAUCUGGAUGAGCCUUUCGUCACUAGAACAGUAAAACAAUUAUUUUUAAAGGUGCUUAUUUGGGACAACAAGAUUUUCCUUUCUUUGGAUCUCAUAAUUGUUUUAUUUUAAUUUUAAUUUUAAUUUAAUUUAAUUUAUUUUAUUUUACUUUUUAGUCGCUGGCUUCCAAUGAAGUGGUUGAUGUCUCUGACUAGGAAAGACAGUUUCAUGUGUACACAAGCCAUAUAUCCCUUCUGAAUCUUACUCUCAAGUACCCUGUGGAAAAUGAUGAGAUGUUUUUGUCAGGUUAUAUCCAAAUAACUUUGAACUCUACCAGUUGCAUACUCAUAAGGGUAGCAGUAACAUUAUUACUGACCUUUUAACCCUUGCUUACUGGAAAACUCCAGUUGUACCAGUGGCCUCUUUAUAAAUGAGUCACUUUCAGGCUAUGACUAAGAUGAAGAAAGCAUUACUUAGGGUUAAAUUUAGGUCAAGUCUGGGCCCAGAGCACAAGACAGGCUUUAGUUGUUGUUAAGAGCCAUAAGAAAACUAUGAAAAGCAUUUCUGCCUUAUGCAGAGAAGAAACAAUUCAACAGAAAUAAGGUUUAACAGUUUCCUGCAUAAAUAUUGUAAAGCAAGUCAGCAGGGGUCUGUGUUAGAGUGAGAGAGAGCUUGCAGGUGGUCUCAGCAGGAAGGAAGCACUUCCCUGGAAUGCCUAUAUGGAUGAUCUGGAUGAAGCUUUUUAAGAAUUAGCAAAGAAAUUAAGUAUGAUGGAAUAAACAAGAUAAUAAUAAUAUGUGAAAUGUACUCUUUUAAUUCAUUUCUAAAUUUUCUCUUGUGUUCACUGGUUUUCAAAUAUACCACCAGCACUAGAACUCCUAAGAAAUCACUCUGAAAUUUCCAGGGCAUGGCAAUGAUUUCUGAGGAUUUUGUACCUCAUCGUGGAAUUUGACUUAGUUUGAGUUCUAGGUAUACUGCUUUUGAUGAUAGCAAUAGGCACACGUGAGAAUGAGGUUAAGUAAGUGUUUAUUUGAGGAUUUAAUAUUGUACACACUCUAGGAGUAAAGCAAUUAUCAUGCUGUUAAUUUCAUAUUCAUGUAUGGCUUAUUUAUUUGCUGUUUACCUCUCUGCAUAAUGAAAAUGCCAUGGAAAUCUGCUUCUUCUAGCACUCUAAUUUUAAAUGAAGCUAAAUGUUAUGUAUAAUUUCAAGAUACAG
rnacentral:lncRNA from 10 species